CAGCCGCCGCGGGAAUACGUAGGGUGCGAGCGUUAAUCGGAAUUACUGGGCGUAAAGCGUGCGCAGGCGGUUAUAUAAGACAGAUGCGAAAUCCCCGGGCUUAACCUGGGAACUGCAUUUGUAACUGGCGGGCUAGAGUAUGGCAGAGGGGGGUAGAAUUCCACGUGUAGCAGUGAAAUGCGUAGAGAUGUGGAGGAACACCUGUGGCGAAAGCGGCUCACUGGACCAUAACUGACGCUGAUGCACGAAAGCUAGGGGAGCAAACAGGAUUAGAUACCCCUGUAGUCCCUGUCUCUUAUAA
rnacentral:rRNA from 1 species